AAGUCCUAGUUGAAAGUUUGUUAUUAAAUGUAACGGUUCUUUCAAUAGUACUUGUAUUACUUUAAUUAGAGUUUGUUAUUGCUGUGUUUUUAAAGAAGUUUUGUUAUGUUCCAUGUUGGAAGUGAAGAUAAAGUUUCCAAAAUGAUAACUGAUGAUCGAUUUUGAAGAGAGGUCAGAUGAAUGCAUUUUAAGGCUAUGAAUUUGCUGUAAGCUGGUUAGUUUAGUUAAGCUUGUCCUGUUUGUGAAUGUUUUAUUAUGAUCCUAAUCUAGAAAAAUUGGGUUCUAUUUCUAGUUGUCUGAUGAAGUUGAUGUUAAAUGGCUCUACUACUGCAAUGCAAAGACUCGAGAACUGGACAGCCUUUUAGGAGCUGAUCCUAGGCAUUAAAAACCCCUCACUUUCCUCUGUUGUUUUUAUUGAUUUUGUGAACAGAUGCUUGGAACCAAUGGAAUGAGUGUACAAAUUCAUUGAUGCUGCUCGCUGCUCUAAACUUUUAUUAAGAAACUCCGGGAAUCAAGUUGACUUUUUUCUAAGGUCCUCACUGUUGUGGUUUGACUCUGCAUGUUCUCGUAAUAAACAUUGUCUUGUUUGCUUUUUGUGUUUAGCCGAACCUUUCCAAGACAUGGAGGGCCGAGGGGACUUAGUGUCACAUAUUCUUGAGUUUUUAAGCAGCUGCUCAAGGGAAACAGUUUUGCAGCAGAGCUUGACUGACAGCUAUAUAAGCAGAGGCCCAAGAUAA
rnacentral:lncRNA from 1 species